UGCAGACGCUUCAGAGUGAAGCAUUGUGGGAUAAACACAACAGUUAUGUCGUGAGAUUAUUUGAACAGAAAAUGUCGAUUUAAAGUUUAUUUGAUUAAACGCCAGCAAGAUGAAGAGCGUUUUUAUCCUCGAUGACCAAGCCUGGGCGGGUUCUAGCCUCCUGUAUAAGUGGCAGAGAGCCCUUGGUAAUUAUAUCGCUGUUGCAGGACAGGACAGCUCAGUGAAAAUAUUUGAUCGACAUGGACACAAGUGGACUGAACUCAACCUUCCGGGACGCUGUGUGGGAAUGGACUGGGAUAAAGAUGGGGACAUUUUGGCGGUGAUAGCUGCAAAAUCCAGUUCUGUCUAUCUCUGGGAUGCCAGUGUCAAUAAAACAUCCCAGAUAGACAGCGGCAUGAGAGACCAGAUGUCUUUCAUCCUGUGGUCAAAAACGGGCCCACUGUUGGCUGUUGGGACAGUCAAAGGAAACCUUUUGAUUUACAAUCAGCAGACCUCACGCAAGAUCCCUGUACUGGGUAAACAUACCAAGAAGAUCACCUGUGGGUGCUGGAGUACUCAGAAUCUAUUGGCUCUGGGAAGUGAUGACAGCACGCUGAGCAUCAGCAAUCAUGAGGGGGACACCAUCAGACAGACAACGCUCCGCGGUGAACCUGCUGAGAUUUCCUUUUCUGUGAUGAAGACGGAUGAAAGGUCCGGUCUAGGAGAGAACACUGUGAGCCUGUCUGUGGACAAGAAGAUACUGAUGCUUUUCAAUGUCAACGACCCUGAAAACCGGAUAGAAUUGACCUUCCAGCGCCACUAUGGAAACAUUGUGUCCUACCGCUGGUAUGGUGAUGGGUAUAUACUGAUAGGCUUCUCCCAUGGGUACUUUGUGGUUAUUUCCACCCACAUCAGGGAGAUUGGGCAGGAGCUCUAUCAGGCUCACAACCACAAAGAUAGUCUCAACAGUGUGGCCAUCUCGCCAGCACUGAACAAGGCUGCCUCCUGUGGUGACAACAGCAUAAAGAUCCACGAACUGUCUGACCUCAAAUAUAUUAGCAACGUCGUUCGGUUGGAUGAUGAGACCAAAGGUCUGGACCAGCUGAACUGGACAGAUGACGGCCAGCUGUUGGCAAUUUCCACACUGAAAGGGACGCUCCAUGUCUUCCUGACCAAGCUGCCCAUCCUGGGUGACAGCUUUGGUACCCGGCUUGCCUUCCUCACCUCCCUGCUGGAGGUCACUGUGUCCAACCAGGUUGAGGGGGAGAGUCCUGUGGCCAUACAAGUGGAAGUAGAGCCUACUUUCAUUGCGAUGGGACCUUACCAUGUGGCUGUGGGAAUGAACAACAGAGCCUGGUUCUACGCCUUGGUAGACCAAGAACCUGGUUAUAACAAGCUAAAGGACAUUGAGUACUUGGGGACCAUAGCCAGCAUGUGUCUUAACUCAGACUAUGCAGCAGCGCUGUUUGAGGGAAAAGUGCAGCUGCACAUGAUUGAAGGGAAAGACCAGGAGGAGAAGAAGCAGAUGAAGUUGUUUCCAGACGAUGACAGGAAAGGUCGGAUCAUUUGCCACGCCCUCACCGCUGACUUCCUCUACUACGGCACUGAUUCAGGUAAUGUGGUGUGUGUGUUGGUGGAGGACUGGGAGACCGUGAGCAGCUACAGCCACUCGGUUGGCGUGAGGAAAGUGUUCCCCGACCUAAACGGCACACGGCUGGUUUUCAUUGACGACAAGAACUGCGGCUUCCUUCUCUCCCCUGCAAAUGCAACAGACUCCUGCUUUGAGCUGCCCAACUUCUCUCCCACCAUCACAGGAGUGAUGUGGGACAACUGGCAUGCUGACAGAGGAGUGUUUGUAGCUUAUGAUGAUGACAAGGUCUAUACCUACGCCCUGCAUAAAACCACCAUAUAUGGCCCCCGGGUGGUGUUGGUGGGGAGUACUGCGCUUCUGUUUUCCCAGAAGCCUUUGCUCUUGUACAAUGGGGAGCUGACGUGUCAGACGGCGAGCGGCAAAACAAGUGAAGUGGCUCUGAGCACACACGCCUUCCUCAAGCUCUCCACAAGCUCAUCAAUAGACUCACCGCAGGAGCUCAGCAAGCAGCUCACCCAUGCCCUAAUGCUCAAGAGGUUCCAUGAAGCCUGGGAUCUGUGUAAGUCUGCAGGUAGUAACACAGACUGGGCGGAGUUAGGCAACGCCUGUUUGGUCCACAUGGACGUCGAGCUGGCCAUCCAGGUCUACCGUACGAGUGGCAAUGUCGGUAUGGUCCUGUCACUGCAGGGCAUCCAGGGUAUAGAGGACAUGAAUUUACGGGCAGGACAUUUGGCCAUGUUCCUAGGCGACUAUAACCUGGCACAGGACCUCUAUCUGUCCUCAAGCUGCCCAAUUGCUGCCCUGGAGAUGAGGAGAGACCUGUUGCAUUGGGACAGUGCCCUUAUGUUAGCCAAGAGGUUAGCAGAAGACCAAAUUCCCUUUAUAUCCAAAGAAUACGCUGUUCAUCUGGAGUUUAUUGGAGACUAUGUGAAUGCUCUGGCACACUAUGAAAAGGGCAUGACCCACAAUAAUAAAUUCCAGGAGCACGACGAGGCUUGUCAAGCAGGUGUGGCCCGGAUGUCCAUCAGGAUGGGCGACAUCAGGAGAGGAGCUGCUCAGGCAAUUCAGCACCCGAGCAGAGUCCUCAAGAAGGAAUGUGGAGCCAUACUGGAGAGCAUGAAGCAAUUCUCUGAAGCCGCUCAGCUCUAUGAAAAAGGCCAGUAUUAUGACAAAGCAGCAUCAGUCUACAUUCGCUGCAAGAACUGGGCAAAGGUGGGCGAGUUGCUCCCACACGUCUCCUCUCCUAAGAUCCACCUGCAGUACGCCAAGGCCAAGGAAGCAGACGGGAAGUAUAAGGAAGCUGCAAGGGCCUAUGAGAGCGCCAAAGACUGGGACAACGUGAUACGUGUGCAGCUGGACCACCUGAGCAACCCUGGGGAAGCAGUUCGCAUUGUCAGGGAGACGCAGAGUAUCGACGGGGCAAAGACGGUUGCCAGGUUCUUCCUGGGGUUGAACGACUACGGCUCGGCCAUCCACUUCCUGGUGCUGUCUCAGUGCAACGAUGAAGCUUUCCAACUGGCACAGCAGCACGGAAAAAUGGAGGUCUACGCAGACAUCAUCGGUCCUGAGGCGACGCAGGAGGACUACCAGAGCAUUGCUCUCUACUUUGAGGGAGAGAAGAAACACCUGCAGGCUGGCAAGUUCUUUCAGAAGUGCGGGCAGUACAGCAGAGCCCUGAAACACUUCCUGAAGUGUCCAAACACUGAUGACAAUUUGGCCGUCGAGAUGGCUAUAGAGACAGUGGGUCAGGCCAAGGACAGUUCUCUGACCAAUCAGCUGAUAGAUUACCUGAUGGGAGAGAGCGACGGUAUGCCCAAGGAUGCCAAGUACCUGUUCCGUCUGUAUAUGGCACUGCAGCAGUACAGGGAAGCUGCUCGCACCGCCAUCAUCAUCGCCAGAGAAGAGCAGUGUGCAGGGAACUAUCGUAAUGCCCAUGACGUGCUGUUCAGCAUGUACACGGAGCUGCAGGCCCAGAAGAUUAAAAUUCCUGCUGAGAUGGCCACCAAUCUGAUGAUCCUCCACUCCUACCUACUGGUCAAAAUCCAUGUAAAGAGGGGAGACCACCUGAAAGGGGCUCGCAUGCUCAUCCGUGUCAGCAACAAUAUCAGCAAGUUUCCUGCACAUGUUGUUCCCAUUCUGACGUCAGCAGUCAUCGAAUGUCACCGUGCCGGACUGAAGAACUCGGCUUUUAGCUUCGCUGCCAUGUUGAUGAGACCGGAGUACCGAAAUGAGAUCGACCCGAAGUACAGGAAGAAGAUCGAGGCUAUGGUUCGACGUCCAGAUACAUCCGAGCUGGAGGAGGAAACCACUCCAUGUCCCUUCUGUGGCUUUCAGCUGCCUCAGAACGAACUGCUGUGUAUCUCCUGCAAGAACAACCUGCCCUACUGCAUUGCCACGGGUCGUCAUAUGCUGAAAGAAGACUGGUCUGUGUGUCCUCAUUGUGAAUUUCCUGCUCUCUACUCCCAGUUCAUUCUCUACAGUUCUUUAAAAAGAAGACGUUUGAUCUUCAUCAACCGGCCCUUAUCACCGUCUUGUGACUCCAGACAGAGCUGAUUGAAGGCUGAUACAUUGCUUCAAGUGAUUUCACUUCCACAGUCUGAAAAUGAAAAUAAUCUGUGGAUGUGGAGUUCGAUAAAAGUUGCUGGAAACUGAGACGAUGUGUCCCAUGUGCUCCGAGACACUGAGUGUCAAACAGCUGAAGAAGAUCUCGGAUUGUUCCGAAUACUUGCAAGCUGAUGAACUGGAUCAAUGAAGAAGAAAAACAAGUGUACAUAGAUGUCCUGUCAGAUUUUUUAUGUUUAAAUAUAUAUUUUGCAGCUUUUAGUUUUAGUUACUGAAUUUUAAAGAUGUUUGUUAUUUCACCAACCAAAAGACCAAUAAUAAAAAACUAUGUAUAUUCAGAGGAAA